rnacentral:rRNA from 1 species
AUUGAACGCUGGCGGCAGGCCUAACACAUGCAAGUCGAGCGGAUGAAGGGAGCUUGCUCCUGGAUUCAGCGGCGGACGGGUGAGUAAUGCCUAGGAAUCUGCCUGGUAGUGGGGGAUAACGUCCGGAAACGGGCGCUAAUACCGCAUACGUCCUGAGGGUGAAAGUGGGGGAUCUUCGGACCUCACGCUAUCAGAUGAGCCUAGGUUGGAUUAGCUAGUUGGUGGGGUAAAGGCCUACCAAGGCGACGAUCCGUAACCGAUCUGAGAGGGUGAUCCGCCACACUGGAACUGAGACACGGUCCAGACUCCUACGGGAGGCAGCAGUAGGGAAUUUUGCGCAAUGGGCGAAAGCCUGACGGCGCAACGCCGCGUGAGUGAAGAAGGUCUUCGGGUUGUAAAACUCUGUUAUGUGGGAAGAAAAGACGUGAAAGUAACUCUGUGCAUUUUGACGGUACCCAAUAAGAAAGCCACGGCUAACUACGUG